rnacentral:lncRNA from 1 species
GGGAAAUGAUUUGCCCCACAGGGCAGAGGGGUGGAAUCGCAAGUUGUUAGACUCUGUGCAUUCUCUCCUGGGUGCUUCCCCCCCCGACCUCCCCGACCUCACCUCAUAAGCUCUUCCUCCUUUCUGUGGCAGCUGCCUUCCAGAAAGGACUGGUGUCCUGGUGAAAAGCACAAACCCAAGCCCAGCAAGCUAUCCUCACAGCACUGCUUCAUAGCCACUCAGACCCUUAAAAAUGAGAGAAAGAAGAAAAAGAAAGAAAGAAAGAAAGAAAGAAAGAAAGAAAGAAAGAAAGAAGAAAGAAAGAAAGAAGAAAGAAAGAAAGAAAGAAAGAAAGAAAAAAAGAAAGAAAGAAAGAAAGAAACCAUUUGGUCAUAAAGGGACUCAAACCACAGCAUAUACCCACCACAAUCCUAUGGGAAAAUUUCCACAUCUGUGCAUAUUUUCUGGGGGUUGUGGGCUCUCCUGGAGCUCCAACUAAAGCAUGACUGGAGCAGCACCCAGUGAAAGGCUCUGGGCUUUGUGGGCUUGCAUUUAUGGUGCUGGAGGCACGAGGAAAAGGUGAGCCCCUACCCAGAUGCUUACAAGCCCAAACUCUAACAGUUCCAAUGGAAAUUGGCUGUGUGGGUACCUUUGAGGUCUACAGGCGGUUUGUUGCUUUUAAAAACCUUGCAACGCAAGCAUCUAAGGCAUGGGAUGCAUUUCAGCUUCUAACUAUAUUUCCGGGAUGUGCUUAUGGAAGGGCAAAACACUUGGCAAAAACUACUUUCAAGCCCCAAAUGUUGGUAUGUCUGUUAAUCGAGAAGUAAAAUCAGGUUGUAAAUAAUAGGUUCCUCUGUCAUUCGCCCUCAGACUAUAUUUAGUCUACAAUUAAUAAGAUGCUAUGAAUAUUUUAAGCAGAAAUAUUUAAAAUAUGAUCACUCUCCAUGCUUUGUUAGAUCAUAUACAAUGAGGACAGAGUUUUCCUGUAACAGAGAACACACACACUAGGUGUGGUUGGGUGCACAGACACACAUUUUUCUAAUUUAGCAAUGGGAUAAAAUAUUUACAUCAAGAAUAACUGUUUAUUUAUUUUUGAGAGAGAGAGAGAGAGAGAGCGAGCAGGGGAGGGGCAGAGAGAGAGGGAGACACAGAAACUGAAGCAGGCUCCAGGCUCUGACUUGUCAGCACAGAGCCCGAGGCGGGGCUCGAACUCACCAACUGUGAGAUCACGACCUGAGCCGAAAUCAGACGCUUACCUGACUGAACCACCCAGGUGCCCCAUUAAAUUUAUGUUUCAAAACUCUGCUUUGAGACAGUAAGGUUUCCAGGCUUGAGGUGGUGCAGGAUGACCAUAUUUCCAUUCCUCUCUUUGAUCUAAUGGCCUGAAUUUGUUUCAAUCUACCAAAACCAAAAUAAAAUUGCCUCCUUUACAAUUCUCGAUUUCUCU